CUACGGGACGCUCCAGUGCUGAAUUAUUCGCCAAUGCGCGAAAGCGUGACGGUGCGACGCCGCGUGCGGGAUGAAGGCCUUCGGGUUGUAAACCGCUGUCAGGUCCUAGGAAACUGUAGUUGUUAAUAGCAGCUGCACUGACCAGGUCCAAAGGAAGCACAGGCUAAUCUCGUGCCAGCAGCCGCGGUAAUACGAGAUGUGCGAGCGUUGUUCGGAAUUACUGGGCAUAACGGGUGCGCAGGCUGUUUGGUAAGUCAGGGGUGAAAUCCCUCGGCUCAACCGGGGAAUUGCUUUUGAUACUGCCAAACUUGAGAGUGAAAGGGGUAAGCGGAAUUCCAGGUGUAGCGGUGGUAUGCGUAGAUAUCUGGGAGAACGCCGAUGGCGAAGGCAGCUUACUGGGUCACUUCUGACGCUCAUGCACGAAAGCUAGGGGAGCAAACAGGAUUAGAUACCCCUGUAGUC
rnacentral:rRNA from 1 species